rnacentral:rRNA from 1 species
GACGAACGCUGGCGGCGUGCUUAACACAUGCAAGUCGAACGGGCCCGCUCUCUUUUUUGGGGGUGGGUUGAGUGGCGAACGGGUGAGUAUCACGUGAGUAACCUGCCCCCUGCUCCUGGAUAACUGCUUGAAAGGGCGGCUAAUACGGGGUGUGCCGGCUGGUCCGCAUGGGCCUGGUCGGGAUAGUUUCAUCUUCGGGUGUUUCGGUGGGGGAUGGGCUCGCGGCCUAUCAGCUUGUUGGUGGGGGGAUGGCCCACCAAGGCGGUGACGGGUAGCCGGCCUGAGAGGGUGGGCGGCCACACUGGGACUGAGACACGGCCCAGAAUCCUGCGGGAGGCAGCAGUGGGGGGUAUUGCACAAUGGGCGGAAGCCUGAUGCAGCGACGUCGCGUGAGGGAUGGAGGCCUUCGGGUUGUGAACCUCUUUCUCCGGUGGUGAAGGCCCUGUCCGUUGCGGCGGGGUUGACGGUAGCCGGGUAUGAAGCGCCGGCUAACUACGUG